rnacentral:lncRNA from 1 species
AAAAUAUCGAUCCACAGGGAUUGUGUGAUCAAACUAGUCGCAUUGUGUUCAUAGACAUUAUACAGAAAAUACACAUAAAUUGGGGGUAUGUUGAGUAAUGAAUGCUAGAAAAUGUGCUUGAUAAUAUGGAAGGGUGAGGUAGAAUCAUCGGAAUCAUCUAGGCUAUAGCUAACCGCAUGCAACCUACAAUGUAUAAGAA